rnacentral:rRNA from 1 species
AGAGUUUGAUUAUGGCUCAGGAUGAACGCUGGCGGCGUGCCUAAUACAUGCAAGUGAAACGGGUAUCUUCGGAUACCAGUCGCGGACGGGUGAGUAAUACAUAGGCAACCUGCCUUUAUGAGGGGGAUAACCGAGGGAAACUUUGGCUAAUACCGCAUGAAGACUCUAAGGCAUCUUAGAGGGAUAAAAGUUGGGAAACAACGCAUGAAGAUGGGCUUAUGGCGCAUUAGCUAGUUGGUGAGAUAGAAGCCCACCAAGGUAAUGAUGCGUAGCCGACCUGAGAGGGUGAACGGCCACAUUGGGACUGAGACACGGCCCAAACUCCUACGGGAGGCAGCAGUAGGGAAUUUUCGGCAACGGGGGGAACCCUGACCGAGCAACGCCGCGUGAAGGAAGAAGGUUUUCGGAUUGUAAACUUCUGUUAUAAGGGAAGAACGGAUUGGAUAGGGAAUGAUCUGAUAGUGACGGUACCUUAUUAGAAAGCCACGGCUAACUACGUGCCAGCCGCCGC